AGAGUUUGAUCAUGGCUCAGAGCGAACGCUGGCGGCAGGCUUAACACAUGCAAGUCGAGCGGGCGUAGCAAUACGUCAGCGGCAGACGGGUGAGUAACGCGUGGGAACGUACCUUUUGGUUCGGAACAACACAGGGAAACUUGUGCUAAUACCGGAUAAGCCCUUACGGGGAAAGAUUUAUCGCCGAAAGAUCGGCCCGCGUCUGAUUAGCUAGUUGGUGAGGUAACGGCUCACCAAGGCGACGAUCAGUAGCUGGUCUGAGAGGAUGAUCAGCCACAUUGGGACUGAGACACGGCCCAAACUCCUACGGGAGGCAGCAGUGGGGAAUAUUGGACAAUGGGCGCAAGCCUGAUCCAGCCAUGCCGCGUGAGUGAUGAAGGCCCUAGGGUUGUAAAGCUCUUUUGUGCGGGAAGAUAAUGACGGUACCGCAAGAAUAAGCCCCGGCUAACUUCGUGCCAGCAGCCGCGGUAAUACGAAGGGGGCUAGCGUUGCUCGGAAUCACUGGGCGUAAAGGGUGCGUAGGCGGGUCUUUAAGUCAGGGGUGAAAUCCUGGAGCUCAACUCCAGAACUGCCUUUGAUACUGAGGAUCUUGAGUCCGGGAGAGGUGAGUGGAACUGCGAGUGUAGAGGUGAAAUUCGUAGAUAUUCGCAAGAACACCAGUGGCGAAGGCGGCUCACUGGCCCGGUACUGACGCUGAGGCACGAAAGCGUGGGGAGCAAACAGGAUUAGAUACCCUAGUAGUCC
rnacentral:rRNA from 1 species